rnacentral:rRNA from 1 species
GGUGAGGCCUUCGGACUGGCCCAGGGAGGUCGGCAACGACCACCCAGGGCCGGAAAGUUGGUCAAACCCGGUCAUUUAGAGGAAGUAAAAGUCGUAACAAGGUCUCCGUAGGUGAACCUGCGGAGGGAUCAUUA